ACUAUUUAACCACACCCAGAAAAAAGGUGACCUCUGGAAAAUGUGCCUUGGGAAAUGAAGGUCUUAAACUGACUUUUAUGGUAAAAAUGCAGACCAGAAGUUCCCAAGCAUUUCCAGGAUACCAGUGCAUAUGUUUUUAUUGUGACUGGUAUACAUGAUGAAAAGAACACUCUUUACCCAUCACCUUUCAAAGCUGCUGAGCAUGAUGAAUACUCACACAAACCAGGUGAUGGAAAGUACCACAGUAACAGCGGGGGCAGCAAAGUGAAGUGUUUAGCUGCAGCAAAUGAGGACACAGAAAUGAAGGAAAGGAGCUGCUUACCUUUGGAAGGCCUCAGUAUUUUAUUUAGGACAUCUGUAUGGGAACUGCUGAGUCACGGCCUGAAGCUCUGAUUGAUCACCUGAGGCGAGCCAUGAGUCAGCCAGAGGAGCACAGGUGAAGGCAAUUCCUAGACCUAUUUAAGAGCUGGCUACCAGUGGGGAAGGGUCUCUUUUGGAGAUCUGCUCUGUUGGUGUUUUGUGAGUGAGCCCAGGAUAGGGGUGUCCAGGUGGUUUGAGAAACUCCAUAGUUUGGAAAGGCAAAAGACUCCAAAGUGUCAAAGUGACUCCUCAAGUAUUCCUUGUCCUUUCUAGGUUGAGCAGUUUUAAGUACUCUGAUAAUACUUUUGUUGUGAAGACAUGACAGUGAAUGUAUUUUAACUAGUUGUUCAGAUGAACAGAUGGGUAAACACCACUGAACGCAACCAAGACUUCUGAAACUGCAUGCUAUUUUAUCUUUUUACAUAUCAUACUGUUGAAACAUUCAUAAGCUCAGACUGCCUCAUAUGUAGCUCAACAGCUUUCUCAGGUGUAUGUAACAACCCUUUGAUUUUUAGCAUGGAUGUUUGUGUAACCCCAACACUUCAAAUUGGAAAACAGCAGAUUCAGAAAUGCAUCCUGAGAAAAAUAACAUACUCCAUUACAGCAAGAAAUCCUCUAAAAAGCUCAUCACAGGAAUUGUGAUUUUCAGGAAGAGGAUCAGAAAUACGCUUAUUCAAGAUGACAGUGUGAACAAGACCUUCUAGAAAUGAAAGUUUUGUGAGAAGUACAGAAACAGCUUCAUCAAAAACUACUACAAGAUUGAGGAACAUUGCAUUGCAUGUGGGACAAAAUCUUCUUGCAUCAACUGCUAGUGACAACCCUUCAUCAGAGCUCUUUCUAGUGUAGUUAUGUUGUUUGCUAAUUUUUUUUUAUCUAUUAUCUCUUGAAUAAGUGAAAACUUCUACACGAUACAGAGAAGUAAGAAUUGGGGUGGAAAACAACAUUCUCAUGAUCACCACUACCUGAAAAUGAAUUUAUGUGUUUUUCCAGUUAACCCUACAGGCAGCUCAGCACCAUAUCAUUGUUCAGUCACUCCUCCCACCCAGUGAGAUGGUGAAGAGAAUCAGAAGAAAAAUCAGAUAGAACACGUGGGUUGGGAUAAAAUACUAUUUACUAAGACAAAAAAAAAAAAGUAAAAUAGUAAUAUUAAUGAUAGCAAUACAUAUUUAUAAAACAAAUAAUGCACAACAGAAUUGCUCACUAAUUGCCAACUGAUGGGCGGUCAGUCUAUGAGCAGUACUUGCCCCUCAGCCAGCUUCCCACUGUGGAUUUUAUUGUUUUUUUUAUUUAUUUAUUUUAUUUGCAGAGUGACACAUGGUAUGGAAUAUCCCUUUGGCCAGCUGAGGUCAACUGUCCUUGUUCUGCCCCCUCCAUCUCCUUGUAUCUCCUCAGCCUUCCUCAGUGUCAGGAAAGUACAAGAAGCAGAAGCAUUUCGGUCCCAGCAACCACAGGCAACCCUACAGCUUUGGGGAGGCAACUGGAAAGCUGCCUGAUGGAAAGGGAUGUUGGUGUACUGAUGGACAAAUGGCUGAAUAUGAGCCAGCAGUGUGCCCAGGUGACCAAGAAAGCCAAUGGCAUCCUGGCUUGGAUCAGGAAUUUGGAGUGGUGAGCAGGACCAGGGAAGUUAACCUGCCCCUGGACUCGGCACUGGUGAGGCCUCACCUCGAGUGCUGUGUUCAGUUUUGGGCACCUGCAUACAGAAAGGACAUGGAGGUGCUGGAGCAGGUCCAGAGAAGGGCAACAGGGCUGGGGAAGGGCUUGGAGAAUAUGGCCUGUGAGGAGAGACUGAAGGAACUGGGGCUGUUCAGUCUGGGGAAAGGAAGGCUGAGGGGAGACUUUGCUGCUCUCUUCAAAUACCUGAAAGGUGAUGCCACGGUUUAUUAUUUUUGUUAUCAGUAUUCCCCAUCAUAACAUCACUUAAAACAUGGAAUUGAAGAGUUAAUACUCCAGUUCAGUGGACUGACAACUUUGCAGACAUCUCCCUAGUCUUCCUCUUUUGGGCCAGUGGUCCUGCGGGUCUGCUGUUCCUCCAUCACAGACACGAAUUGAUCUAGAUAACUCUGUGACAGCUGAUUGCAACAAGAGCAGGGUUGGUCUCUUCUCACUGGUGACAGGUGACAGAAUGAGGG